CAUGGUCAUAUUUGCCCCCAAUUCGAAGCUUCGGAGCUUUCUCUUCUCGCUGGCCUUCGAUUCGCCGUGACGGUCUCUGGGUUUUACCAUCCUCCGAACAAUCUCCGAUGCAGCGGCGCGGCGGAGCUGCGAUCCGGAGGGAGCCCUUGCUGACGAGGGCGGUUAGCGCGGUGUUCUGCUUUGUUCGGAUCGCAGAGUUCGAGAUCCUCUUCUUCCUAUUCUUCGUAAUCGCAUUCCUAAUUUUCAAAGAUCUGACUUCACGGCCGGAGUACAAUCAGAUCUUUGUGAAGAAGCCUGGCGGCGAUGACUUCUGGCCCUUUUAGGAGAUGGCUGCCUCAUUGGAUUGAACACUUCAAAGAAGGAACAUUAAAAUGGUUUCUCUUGAUACUUGUAUAAGAAUCCUGUUGCAGCAGUGACAUCAAACUUUUAUUUUUUUUUCUUUUUCUUUUUAAACUUCUUGUUCAUUUUGUUUGUUUGUUUUUUUUUUUGUCAAAGAGAUUUGUGUUUCUUUAUUUUCUAGCCUGACUAUUUGUAAUAAAAUUUUCUGGAUAAGUUUGGCUUUGCACUGAAGA